AAAUUGAAAUACAGUGAUGUAUUUACUCCUAUAAUCUGGAGAGAUCAAUUCUAUCUUGACUCACACAUCAACUUAAUAAGUACUUGAUUACAUCUAAAAACUUUUCAUCACUAAAUUAAAAAUUUAGAUAGUCUGACAUCAAAAUAUAGUGAGUUGCUUGCAAGUCACCGUGGUGAUCUCAGAUCGGAGGAACAUUUAUAUCUAUGCCCUUCGUGAGCUACUCUUAACAGCAGUGUACUCCACAGUUGGUCAUGUUUGGUACAAAUAUACUCUUAUAUUUUACUGGCAUGCCAUGCCAAU
rnacentral:lncRNA from 1 species